GACGAACGCUGGCGGCGUGCUUAACACAUGCAAGUCGAACGGAAAGGCCCUUCUUUUGUGGGGUGCUCGAGUGGCGAACGGGUGAGUAACACGUGAGUAACCUGCCCUUGACUUUGGGAUAACUUCAGGAAACUGGGGCUAGUACCAUAUAGGAGCUCCUGCGUCAUUGUGGUGGUUGGAAAGUUUCGGCUGUUGUGGAUGGACUCGCGGCUUAUCAGCUUGUUGGUGGGGUAGUGGCUUACCAAGGCUUUGACGGGUAGCCGGCCUGAGAGGGUGACCGGCAAGAUCGGGACUGAUAUGCGGCCCAGAAUUGUACGGGAGGGAGCAGUGGGGAAUAGUGUAAUAUGGGCGGAAGGCUGAUGCAGUAAAGCCGUGCGCGGGAUGAAGGUCUUUCGGUUGUAAAGCGCGCCUGCCUGUGACGAAGCGUGAGUGACGGUAAUGGGUAAAGAAGCACCGGCUAACUACGUG
rnacentral:rRNA from 1 species